rnacentral:rRNA from 1 species
GACGAACGCUGGCGGCGUGCCUAAUACAUGCAAGUCGAACGCAGUGGGGACGGGUGAUUAACACGUGGGUAACCUCCCAUCAGAGGGGAUAACACUUGGAAACAGGUGCUAAACCCAUACGGAUUGAUGUACUCGCGGGGCAUUAGCUAGUUGGUGAUGUAACGGCUUACCAAGGCCACGAUGCAUAGCCGAUCUGAGAGGGUGAUAGGCCACACGGGGACUGAGACACGGCCCAGACUCCUACGGGAGGCAGCAGUAGGGAAUCUUCGGCAAUGGACGAAAGUAUGACCGAGCAACGCCGCGUGAGUGAAGAAGGUUUUCGGGUCGUAAAGAUCUGUUGUUAGAGAAGCGGUAUCCAACCAGAAAGCAACGGCUAACUCCGUGCCAGCAGCCGCGGUAAUUC